GAUGAACGCUGGCGGCGUGCUUAACACAUGCAAGUCGAGCGAGUGAGUUCUUUGGAACGAUCUAGCGGCGGACGGGUGAGUAACACGUGGGCAACCUGCCUCAUAGAGGGGAAUAGCCUCCCGAAAGGGAGAUUAAUACCGCAUAAAAUUAUCGAGUGGCAUCACAUGAUAAUCAAAGGAGCAAUCCGCUAUGAGAUGGGCCCGCGGCGCAUGAGCUAGUUGGUGAGGUAACGGCUCACCAAGGCGACGAUGCGUAGCCGACCUGAGAGGGUGGUCGGCGACAUUGGGACUGAGACACGGCCCAGACUACUACGGGAGGAAGCAGUGGGGAAGAUUGCACAAUGGGGGAAACCCUGAUGCAGCAACGCCGCGUGAGUGAUGAAGGUCUUCGGAUUGUAAAGCUCUGUCUUUGGGGACGAUAAUGACGGUACCCAAGGAGGAAGCCACGGCUAACUACGUGCCAGCAGCCGCGGUAA
rnacentral:rRNA from 1 species